AACGAACGCUGGCGGCAUGCCUAACACAUGCAAGUCGAACGAGACCUUCGGGUCUAGUGGCGCACGGGUGCGUAACGCGUGGGAACCUGCCCUUAGGUUCGGAAUAACUCCCCGAAAGGGGUGCUAAUACCGGAUAAUGUCUUCGGACCAAAGAUUUAUCGCCUUUGGAUGGGCCCGCGUUGGAUAGCUAGUUGGUAGGGUAAAAGCCUACCAAGGCGACGAUCCAUAGCUGGUCUGAGAGGAUGAUCAGCCACCCUGGGACUGAGACACGGCCCAGACUCCUACGGGAGGCAGCAGUGGGGAAUAUUGGACAAUGGGCGAAAGCCUGAUCCAGCAAUGCCGCGUGAGUGAUGAAGGCCUUAGGGUUGUAAAGCUCUUUUACCCGGGAUGAUAAUGACAGUACCGGGAGAAUAAGCUCCGGCUAACUCCGUG
rnacentral:rRNA from 1 species